GUUAACAGAGGCACCAACAACAGUAGCAGAACACAUCAAAUGGAGAAGAACCAUAAAUCAAUUGAGCCGGUGCAACUACAUCAUCGCAGAAGAAACAGAUCCAAGGCCACAAAUUCAAUCUGCAAGGUGCAAGUUCACCAUUUCGUCUCUGCUCCUUUUCACAUUCUCCAACAACAACAACAGCAGCACCAGCAACAAUGAUGAAGGGGUAACGGAAAAUGAGAGAAGAGAUGAAGGGUCUGAAGGGUACCAUUGCAGAACUAGGUGUUGAAGUCAUCACGACAACAUCCAGUAGUGGAUGAAAUUCUCCUCCAAUCUUCUUGCGAAGCCACAGAGUCCAGUCCUCAUCAGAGACUGCAUCCUCGCGCUCUGCAACGUCGGCUCGUCGUGGCUGAUGGAGGUCGCGUGACAAUGCUUU